rfam:Ovis aries breed Texel chromosome 18, whole genome shotgun sequence.
UCCCUGAAGGUCCAGUAGUCAAGGCUCUGCACUGCUGAUGCAGGGGGCAUGGGUUCAAUCCCCGGUUGGGGAA